rnacentral:tRNA from 1 species
GGAGGAGUGGCAGAGUGGUCGAAUGCGGCGGUCUUGAAAACCGUUGAACGUGAAAGCGUUCCGAGGGUUCGAAUCCCUCCUCCUCCG